GCUGGGUGUGGUGGCUCAUACCUGUAAUCCCAGCUACUUGGGAGCUGAGGCAGGAGGAUUGCUUGAGCCCAGGAGUUGGAGUCCAGCCUGGGCAACAUGGUGAGACCCUGUCUCUA
rnacentral:SRP_RNA from 1 species